CCAGUUGCUAACAGGAGAGCUGAGCACUCUGGCGAGGACUGCCGCCGACAAGGCGGAGGAAGGUGGGGAUGACGUCAAGGUCAUCGAUGGCCUUUAUGCCCAGGGCUACACACGUGCUACAAUGGCCGGCACAGACGGCAGCUUAGUGGCGACACUUGGCAAAUCCUCUAAAGCCGGUACCCAGUUCGGAUUGCAGUCUGCAACUCGACUGCAUGAAGCCGGAAUCGCUAGUAAUCGCAGAUCAGCCAAGCUGCGGUGAAUACGUUCCCGGGCCUC
rnacentral:rRNA from 1 species